UGCUACUUUCUGUGCAGAGCUUGUUGGCCUCUUGUCUCUUACAACUACCUUAAAUGAAGGGCCCAUUGACACAUCCGUUUGAAUGAGGUUUUACUCAACCUGUAACAAGUUUUCACCCAGCUCAUAGCAAUAUGAAUGACAGGUCCAGAAUGACAACUAAACUCUGGACCACUUGGAAAAAGACUUGAUGAACUGAAGACAGAGAUGAAUUGACACAAUCCCAUCAGCUGCUAUCUGCUUCAUGACCCAAAUAAGGAUGAUAAUCCUACAUUCCUGGUGCAGGAGAAAGGUUUUCAAGUAGGAAGAUUUCAGAAGGAAAAACACAAAAAGAAACAGCUUCAGUCUCCAGAAUUUUGAAACCUUGCUAGCAAUUGGC